UGCAUCUCUUCUCCCGUCGGUCGGCGACGAACCCUAGCUAGCGUGUCUCCACCGGCUUCCAAAAAAAAAAACUCGUGUCAGUCCGGGUGCGAGAGGCCACCGGCGGCGCUCUAGACUAAUCGGAUCGGAUCUGAGCGAAUCCCGCCGCCGCGCCCGUCUCGCAUGCCGUGGCCGAUGACCGCGUCGGCCGGGGCCCGUCCCUGCCCAAACGGCGGCGAUGAUGGAUGGAGCCGCCGGCGCCGGCCAGGCUCCCGACCUGCGGACGCGCCGGGUCGCCGCUCCUCGGGGCCAGCCCCUCCCGCCGCGGCGGAUCGCGCAUCGGCUUGGAGGCCCCUCGGGGCUGCCGCCGGUGCGGGAGGCCUCCGCGGCGCGGGCUGGGGAGUGGGGACCGAGCGGCGGGGCCCGUGAGGCGUUCCGGUCGAGGGAUUGGUCGGGCCGGUGCGGGAUCUGAGCCGCCGUCCAUGGAUUUCUCGCAGCUUGGCUGCGUUUCGCUUUCGAUUCGAGUCCACACCAGUGAACCCUAACCCGAAACCGGAUCAGGCGAGCUCUCGUUGCCGGAUCGCUGACCCGUCGUCCCGGUGGCCGCUGCGUCAGUUCCACACCGCUACGGCGCCGCCAGCCAUUGCCGUUCCCUUGCCUUGGAUUCGGUUGUGGCGUGGGCUGGAGCCGUACUCUGUUGUCUGAUGCGUCGUUCAAGCGGGGGGUUUGGUCAGUCGAGGCCAGGCAUGAGCAGCUCCUGAGCAGGAUGGAUGGAUGGAUGGAUGGAUGCGUUCAUGUGUCGUGAACUAAAACCACGACUCCUAUUUUUGAACGGAGGGAGUAUGAAUGUAUGGAUAUCAUGGUCAUGUUGCUUGCUGUGUAGAGCCCGGAGGUGGGUUGAGAAAAAAAGAGGGGCAAUGAUGAUGAUGACGACGACGACGACGGCUGAAAUUACCAUGUCUUGAGCAAUCAAGGCAGCUGUGGUGUGGUGGUACUAAACAGAGCUGAAAAAAAUAUCGGUGUCUGCGUUGGAGUUGGCCUUGGAGCCCACCCUUGCCUCUCUUGCAGCCUGUCUAAUUCAUCGCUGAUGUUGGAUGCUUUGUGCCUCGGGCGGUCAUUCUGUUGAGUGAUAACCAUGGCAGUUCUCUUGCAUCGUGAUGGGUAGAUUAUGCAGCAAGAAAUGUGGGGGUUGGGCUUGAAGAUGGAAGACAAAACUAACCCUAAACCGAAUCAGGCGAGCUCUCGUUGCCGGAUCGCCGGCCAAUCAUCCGGUUGGCCGCCACGUCAGUUUCGCACCCCUGCGGUGCUGCCAGCCACCGCCGUUCCAUUGCCUUGGAUUUGGCUGUGGCGUGGGCUGGGAACCGUACGGUGUUUGUCUGACGAGCCGUCCGCACGGGGGGUUUGGUCGGUCGACUCCAGGUAUGAGCAGCUCCUGAGCUUGAUGGCUGGAUGUGUGCACACAUGUAAUGGAGUAUCAUGGUCAUGUUGCUUGGUGUGCCGAGGCAACCUCAUUUUUGGACCAAAAAGAGGGGCGAUGACGACGAUGAUGAUGACGAUGAUGAUGACUGUGGCUGAAAUAAUGCUGUCUUGAGCAAUCGAGACAGCCUUGGUUUGUGGGACUAAACUGAGCUGAAAAAGUCGGUGUCACCACCCUUGCUUCUGUUGCAGCCUGCUCAAUUUUUCGCCGAUGUUGGAUGAUCUGUCCCUUGGAUGGUCGUUCUGAUGAGUGACAACCAGGGCAGUUCUCUUACACUGCGAUGGGUAGAUCAUGGAGCAAGAGAUGUGGGUGUUGGGUUUGAAGAUGAAUGACAAAGCUGAGCCCUCUUUUGCUACGCUACAUACACUGAAUUUUCACUGUUCAGUUGCAUUUUGUUUUGGAUUCGGUGUGAAUCCUCCUCCUCCUCCUCCUCUCUCUCUCUCUCUCUCUAUAUAUAUAUAUAUAUAUAUAUAUAUAUAUAUCCUACAACAAAUCAGUCAAGCUGUCAUUGCCUACUCGCUGACCCAUGGUCCGGGUGGACUAACGCUAUGGUGCCGUCAGCCACCGCCAUUCCAUUGCCUUGGAUUCGGUUGUGGCGUGGGCUGGGAACCAUACAGUGUUGUCUGAUGCGUCGUCCGAGCCGGAGGUCUGGUACUCUGGUUGGCUGAUGCCAGACAUGAGCAACUCCUGAGAGCAUGGUUAAUAGUACAGCCAACUUCUGGCAUGCAUGCAUGUAUGUAUGGAUGUAUGGAUACUAUGGUCAUGUUGCUGCCGAAGUCACUGUUUUGACCUUUUUGGAAAGGUUCGCACAAAAUGAACCAUGUCUGAAACUUCAGUACAAUCUAACCCCCUGUAUCCAUCGAUCCAUCCAUCUAUCCAUCAACCCAUCCAUCCAUCUAUCUAUCUAUCUAUCUAUUUGAGGCGAUGAUGAUAAAACAUGGCUGACAUAAACUUGUCUUCGAUUAUUCGAGGAGCUGUGGGCCUCAAAAACCUACUCUCCCCUCUUUUGGCACCUUAUCAUUCUCACCGAAUAUUGAUGGCUCUGUCUUGGAUGGUCAUUCUGCUGAGUGAUAAUCAGAGGAGCUCGACCUCAGUGGUGGGGGUUGAUCUGGUGAAAGAAGAUGGAGCCAGGUUGUAUGAUCUAUCAAAGGCGAAUCUGAGCCCUCUCAAAUCUCAAUGCAACUAAUACUGCGCCCUCUACACAUCUAUUUAUCCCUAUUGCAUUUUUAUGUUUUAAAUUGAUGAAUUGUCGUGGUUGUAGCAUUGGGCCAUCUCAUUAGGAGCAACUACGCACAAAUCACCUCUCGUGGUGUUCGGUUUGCCUUCCCAUGAUUUUGUUGUCCAUUGAGGGAACCAGUUUGGUGCAUCCGGGCCUUUUCUUUUCUGUUAUUAUUUUUCCUUGAAUGGCUGUGAUAAUAAUGCUGCCCUUGGGUAUUUUUUGAAAUUAUCUUAUUUGGUACUGUAUCAGUUUGGUUGUUUCAAUUGCUAUUUGACUUUUGAUAAUUUCAUUUUGCUACUGUUCUCUUUAUCUAGUUAUCAGUUUGUACUUUUGGGCACUCCUCAUUUAUUUACUGGUUUUCAUCUUAAGGGUCAUAUAGGGAAAGUUCAGAUGUCAAGAUUACUGUUUCCUUCAUGUCAUGUUCAUGAAUGGCUGCGAUGAUAUAGCUUCCAUGUGGGUGCUUCUAUCUAAUACCUGUAUUGAUUCAGUAGGUGCUAAACUAGGACUCUAGGAGUCCUUGUGUCACAACAAGUAACCGGUUUAGCGGCUAACAAUUACUGUUAAACAUUGGAAUUAAGAAUCCACUUAACAGUGUGGAGAGAGAUUACAUGGAAUUAAGAAUCCACUUAACAGUUUGGUUGCUUACAGCAGAAUGCUUUGAAAUAAAGAUGCAUCAUUAAGGACUACUUUGUUUGAAUAAAUAAAAAAAUUGUGUUGUGAAGGGCCUAGAAAGAGGAACAGGAUUUCACAUCUUUUCAUCAAACUAUGCUAUUAUUUGCAACUGUAUGUCCUUUGUUAUGCAUGUUCUGUUUUUUGUCUCAGCAUUUCCAUUUAGUCGUAACCGCAUUUUAUUUUGCGGAAGGUCUUACAUUCAUGUAUUUGCUGCACUACGGCACCGCAAGCAUCAGCAAUUGUAAUAAUUACAUUUGAUCUAUUAAUUUAUUAAUUAUAUUUUUUUAAAUUCUGAAUCUACAAUUCUAUUUCUCGUUUACAUUAUGUUCACUGUAACCUGCAGCACUAACCCUGUUGAUGGCUUUCUUCUGUUGCAAAAAAGAAAGUUCAUGUUCUCCUGUUUUUAUUUUGGCUUGCAGUCACUCGUUUUAUCUGGUGAAGUGAACAAAUGGCAAUUGCUUCUUUCAUUGCCGGUAAUACGGCCAUCAGUGCAGUAUUCCAUAUUAACUUCUGAACACAGCAUAUUUGUUUCUGUUGUGUGUUGUUGAUAAUUAUUCUUUUUCUGAAUGGCUAUGAUGAUUUCCUCCCCAUGGUGUCUUUCAACAUAUCCUGAGAUAGAGACACUUUCACGUCUCUAGGUUGGUUCCAUUCAACUUUGCCCAGUUAGACAGUUAAUCAUUAAACUAGGAGGCCUUGCUCUGCAGCAAGUUACCAGUUGUGGCUAUUUGUUGCUGAGUGGAGAGAGGUUUUAUUCCUUAUGGUACUACCUGAAGCAUUGUCCAACUAAGGUGAUUCAUGGGCAGGUAAAUCUGAGCCAUUCAUUCAAGUAGUACUCCCCAAAAAUUUCCCGGAUUUUGUGAACUACUAGAUGAUGCCCCGGCCCCCGUGUGUUGCCGUGGGAACCUCGUUAAAAUAAUUGUAUUAAUAGGUGCUAGAAAACAACUAAACUAAUGCAAGAUAAUAAUAAUAUUCUUGACUUACAUUGUAGCAGCAUGCCAUUUUGUUUCUAUAAAAAGUGCAAAUCAUGAACUACGUAGAUAGGCUUCAAGUAUCCACCAUGUAUGCUGUAUAUGACAAUAUAAAAGUCAAUUAAAAAAAUGUAACCUAUCAACGACGUCGACAUGUUACAAUUCAAAAAAUAUAACUUAUCAACGCCAACGACAUGUAUCGCUUGGUAAUAUGGCGCGGUUGCAUUUUUAAAUUAAUGCAAAAAGGUGCAACUUAUAAUUGACAUGCAUAGGUCCUUAGGUGGCAUGGUUGCAUGCUUAGAAAAAUUAGAUCGUGAAUUGGAUGUAAAUAAAUGUAAGUUAUGAUUUGUGAUUGACAUCCAUACGUGCUGUUGUGGCAUGGCUGCAUGUUAUUAAAAAUUAGCUAGUGGGUUGUAGCUAUUGAGAAGUAGAGGAUUCCUCGUGUAUUUGUUAUGGUACGUGAGUCUGACACUUUGCACUUGUACUUCUGCCUGAUUAUAGAAAUUUUAGCAUUGGGUACUUCUGAAAUAUACUCCAGAAAACAGCUUGGUUUCC